rnacentral:rRNA from 1 species
ACGGGAGGCAGCAGUGGGGAAUAUUGCACAAUGGGCGCAAGCCUGAUGCAGCGAUGCCGCGUGAGGGAAGAAGGUUUUCGGAUUGUAAACCUCUGUCAUCGGGGACGAUAAUGACUGUACCCGAGAAGGAAGCUCCGGCUAACUACGUGCCAGCAGCCGCGGUAAUACGUAGGGAGCGAGCGUUAUCCGGAAUGAUUGGGCGUAAAGGGCGCGUAGGCGGCCUGUUAAGUCUGGAGUGAAAGUCCUGCUUUUAAGGUGGGAAUUGCUUUGGAUACUGAUGGGCUUGAGUGCAGGAGAGGUAAGUGGAAUUCCCAGUGUAGCGGUGAAAUGCGUAGAGAUUGGGAGGAACACCAGUGGCGAAGGCGACUUACUGGACUGUAACUGACGCUGAGGCGCGAAAGUGUGGGGAGCAAACAGGAUUAGAUACCCUGGUA